CCUACGGGGGGCAGCAGUGGGGAAUAUUGGACAAUGGGGGGAACCCUGAUCCAGCCAUGCCGCGUGUGUGAAGAAGGCCCUCGGGUUGUAAAGCACUUUCAGUGAGGAAGAACGCCUGGUGGUUAAUACCCAUCAGGAAAGACAUCACUCACAGAAGAAGCACCGGCUAACUCCGUGCCAGCAGCCGCGGUAAUACGGAGGGUGCGAGCGUUAAUCGGAAUUACUGGGCGUAAAGCGCGCGUAGGUGGCUUGAUAAGCCGGUUGUGAAAGCCCCGGGCUCAACCUGGGAACGGCAUCCGGAACUGUCAAGCUAGAGUGCAGGAGAGGAAGGUAGAAUUCCCGGUGUAGCGGUGAAAUGCGUAGAGAUCGGGAGGAAUACCAGUGGCGAAGGCGGCCUUCUGGACUGACACUGACACUGAGGUGCGAAAGCGUGGGUAGCAAACAGGAUUAGAUACCCGAGUAGUUC
rnacentral:rRNA from 1 species